AGUUUCGUUGUCAUAUAAAUUCAAUUGAACAAGAAUUUAAAUGUACAAAUCAACCUACAAAUGACAAAAUGAUCAAUUAAUUUAUUUUUUUAGAAAAAAUCAAAAGAUAGGUUAGGUGAAUAUAAUAAUUUGUUGAAAUAUGAAAGGAAGAAGUAAUGUAGACUAAUUGUAAAACUCAAGUUUUGAUUUAUGGUUGAUGUUAAAAACCUUCAAGUACAUAGUAUAUAUAG
rnacentral:lncRNA from 1 species